UAUAUAUAUAUAUAUAGCUUUCGGCAGUUAAUAAUUUCACUAUUACAAUGUCACAGCCUACAGGUUACUAAAUGGCUAGUGGGAGGUUGUGGCUAACCAUCCUACCGGCAAAGACCCCAAGCAAUUCAGCGUUCCAGUAUGUUGUGUAGAAACCGAAAUGGGUGUGGAUUAUCUUACACACAAGUUAGCCCGUUAUCUUAGAUUGCACCUUCACUUGCCAUCAGGUGAUAUUUUAGUCAAGGGCUAACUUGUAAUUAAUAAACAAAAAACAAGUAUGUAGGUAGGUUUAAAUAAAUACCUACUUAGUUAUUAUUAUGUUUUAAGUGCAGCUUGACUUAUAUAUUUUUUUGUUUUAAAAUAUUAUCUAAAUACGUAUUUUAUUUAAAAUAAUUAUAAUUUUAGUUAUAUAACAACUUAUUAUGUCUGAUGCAAACUUUAUGGCGUAUCGGAAAUUAAAUAUUAGUCUCCGGCCGCUCAGAAAUUGCGUUUCUUACAUGUCGUGAUAGAAUGCGACAAACAUUCAAUUACAAUUGCCUUGUCGUUAUUUUGUCUCAUCCACAGAUUUUAGAGAUAACUAGAUUUAUUAAAUGUCAACAGGCUACUUGCCUGCUGUAUAAAACUAAGAAAGUUUUUUUGCAUGUAGGCAGUAUAUAGGUAUGCGUAAAAACUCUAAUGACAUUUUUAUUUGUGAAAAUAAUGUAAUUAUUAUAUUAUUAUAAAAUAAUUUAAUAUUUUUAUAAUACAAAAUUGUAUUUUUAUCACGUCACCGCAAACGCCAAUCAUAAACUGUGACGUCAUUCGCUACAAGCUCAGACCAAUUAUUGUAUCGGUCCUGCCUCGCUAGACGUUACUUUUCUGUCAAAGUAUAUGAUCAACGAUCUAAUGCGAUUAUAAAAACUGUCUCUAUAGGAUCGAUGUUAAAUAGUUGUAAUCGUGUUCGUCAGUUAAAGAGCUCUGUAAAAAUACCUUUUUGUGUAAUUGAAUUGUGUAAAAAACGGGCAAAAACUUCUAGUUUAGUAUAAGAUAUAUACCAAAUCUAAGCUCGUUUUCCUCAGAAAAUGACAGACAAUUUAGUUCGUGACUAUGAGUGCGAUACAGGUCCUUCUAUAAUUGGUCUGAGGCUACAAGGCAUCGACGUGACAUAUGACAUUGUCCUGUUAAAGGUCCAGCAUACCUUUGGGCGUGGCCAAAAAUAACACAUUUAAAAUGUAAUAAUACUUAUCACACUGAUAAACGUAAUUGGCUGUUUAAUAUUUACCGCUGAUACCUAAAAUCUUGUUUAGCACAGCCGCACGAUGUUCCGAAAUGUCAUAAAUACAUGCUAAUAACAUAAUUCUGUUACACUGAAAGUUAUAGUGUUAUUUUUGUUUUUUUUUUUUUAAUAUUUUUAAAAAGAGUUAAUAAAUGUUUGUUUUGUGUAAAUUUUAUCUUUGGAUAGAUACUAUCUUUUUUUUUAGUUUUUAGGUAUAUAAAUUUAAGAUUAUUUUUGAUAUUAUAAUAAGAUUAAUACAUAGUUUAUGUUACAACUUAAAUAAUAAACCUACUAGUACGUAUAUUUUUAUAUCGAUGCCAUGUCUGACUAUUAAUUAACACUUUCAUUACCGCUACGAUUUUCACGAUGUUUUCUCGGGAGCCGCCUACAUUUUACGUUGGACUCGCUAGGUGAGUCGCCGGCGCUGCGAUACGAAUCAUUCGACUCGCCACGCGAGUUCAGUGGCAUUGCGUUAGGGUAAAAACUAUGUUCUGUUAUUUUUGUGGCCGUGACAGUGUACGUUACGUGUUUAAAGCAAUUAACUAGUAUAUGGUGUAAUUUAACAAAAAGAAAAUGGCAAGAAACACUAUAAAUAAACGAAAAGGCCACCACAAAACACAAUAACAUAGAACACAAGAAUCUCAAAGUCCAGAAAACGUUUGCCAGGGGUUAAAACAGUAGGUACUCCAACAGGUCCAGUAAUCGAAAGCCAAGUCACAAUGAUAGAAAACAAAUAUACGCGUGCGAUAAGGAAAGGGUCGUGCUUAACACUAAUCUAUAUAUAAAGAAAGUCGGGUUUGUUACAACACUUCACUCGAGAUUGACCAAUGAGAGCUUGGCAAAAACAAUGUUAUCAGUGCUUUUAUUGCUUACUAACCAGAGCGUUCAUGUUAAAAAAUACCGGUUCCUUUUGUUUUGCCGGCAAUUUUUAACAAUGCGAAGGGAUCCUCUUUCAGUUGUAACUCUUAAAGUAAUAGACCGAGAGUUGAGUUUGUGUUUUCUGCACCGUUCGUUUAACAAAAACGCAAGGACAGACUCAAAAACUUAGAAGUACCCAUUUGGUGAACACCAAAUUCGAGCCCCUACAAGGUGUCGAACACAAUCCGCCGUUGUUUUACGAGUGAAUGUGACUUUUGGUAAAAUGAAAAUAAAAGUAUCUACCUUUUAUAUAUUUCAUUUAUAAAAGUUUGAGAAUCUAUGUUAGUGAACUCGCCUAGCGAGUUCAAGGCAUUGCAGAAUAGUUUAUUUUCUUUCGAUUAUAAACUGGGUCUGCACACCCGGCCCACCACGUUAUUCAUUAGAUUAGUGUAUAUUUAGUCUUCAGUAUUAUUUUAAGCAGAAAAUACACAUGCAUUUUGAAAAAAAAUUGCAAAAACAUUGAACUCGCGAGGCGAGUCUACGGCGCUGGAAUAAAAUUUACGUGGACUCUCCGGGCGAGUCGGUGGCACUGAACGUGUUAAGUCUGUGACAAUAAAUAUUUUUCGUUA